GGAGAGGAAAGUGGANUUCCUAGUGUUGCGGUGAAAUGCGUAGAUAUUAGGAAGAACACCAGUGGCGAAGGCGACUUUCUGGACGAAAACUGACGCUGGGGCGCGAAAGCCAGGGGAGCGAACGGGAUUAGCUACCCCGGUAGUCCUGGCCGUAAACGAUGGGUACUAGGUGUAGGAGGUAUCGACCCCUUCUGUGCCGGAGUUAACGCAAUAAGUACCCCGCCUGGGGAGUACGACCGCAAGGUUGAAACUCAAAGGAAUUGACGGGGGCCCGCACAAGCGGUGGAGUAUGUGGUUUAAUUCGACGCAACGCGAAGAACCUUACCAGGUCUUGACAUUGAUGGACAGAACUAGAGAUAGUUCCUCUUCUUCGGAAGCCAGAAAACAGGUGGUGCACGGUUGUCGUCAGCUCGUGUCGUGAGAUGUUGGGUUAAGUCCCGCAACGAGCGCAACCCCUAUCUUAUGUUGCCAGCACGUAAUGGUGGGAACUCAUGAGAGACUGCCGCAGACAAUGCGGAGGAAGGCGGGGAUGACGUCAAAUCAUCAUGCCCCUUACGACCUGGGCUACACACGUACUACAAUGGGAGUUAAUAGACGGAAGCGAGAUCGCGAGAUGGAGCAAACCCGAGAAACACUCUCUCAGUUCGGAUCGUAGGCUGCAACUCGCCUACGUGAAGUCGGAAUCGCUAGUAAUCGCAGGUCAGCAUACUGCGGUGAAUACGUUCCCGGGCCUUGUACACACCGCCCGUCACACCACGAAAGUCGGAAGUGCCCAAAGCCGGUG
rnacentral:rRNA from 1 species